ACCUAACUCUGUGCUAUGUGCUCUCUCAAGCGUUCUCACUUAACCCUCAUAACCAUGCUGAAAAGUAACUUCCUCAUUUUGGGGAAUUUGAAGAAAUGAGGAACUUGAGGCAGACUGAUGAAAUGAUUUAUCUAAAGUCACCAAAGAUUGACAGAACCAGGGCCCAAACUCAAGAACUGUAAGUCCAGUUGCAUUUUCCAUUACAUCAGAAAUUGAUAACCAAGGCUUAAAACUAGCAGAAUGUUACUCUGUCCAAGUCAUUAAAGACAGAAAAAGUUUGUUUAAAGAAAGCAAUUGAGUUUUUAUUCCAUCAUCCGAGAUAACUGAAGUAUUUGACUAUUACAGGGCUGUUUCCUUCAAACAUUCCACCCUUGGCAUUCUUGUUGCUUAAAUGGCCUUUAAGAUAUUGCUAUUCUCCGUGGAGAAAUACCCAGACAACCAAAGAGACUAAAUCAUAUAUAUCCUCCACCAUUUCCCUGUUUUACGGUAAAGGAUUUUACGUUCAAUACUCCUCUUCAGCCAAUCACUAAUUAUGUAAAUUGCAAAUCUGAAGAUUAGCUGUUCCUUGGUGGUAAUACUGACUAGAAAAAAAGUAUACCCAUGCAAAUAUAAAUUAUGGAAUAGUGGAUACAUGAAAUAUGCACCCAUUUUCAAAGGCGAUCUUUUAAAGAAUGUAAUAACAAGCCAGGUUCUUAGACAUCUCUCCCUUUGUGAUUUCAGUUCUCAAAAAAUAUAGAAACUAAUCAAUUAAAUAUUCUAAGAUAAGGUAGUUUUCUAAGGGUUUCUUUAAUUGCAGGAGAUUAUAGGGGUAGACUGGAAAAAGUGGGAAGCAGAACACAGAGAAUGAAGUCGACAUUUUGGCAAAGGAAAAUUGCACCAUUAGCUGUUUAUAUAGACAUUGCUAGGAACUUUGAACUCCAAAUCUAGUUUACCAAAUCUAGCUUGACUUGAUUAACAUAUUUGAUUUUAUACUUGUUAAACUUGAACAACCGGAUACUGGAAUGAUAAGAGACAGGAAAAUAGUGGUUUAGUUAAAAAGUAGUUAAACUUUUAGGGUAUAACAUUUUGUCAGUGGUUGUCAUUUUAGAAUUUAAAAGCUGAAUUUUCUUUUGCCUCAUACUUCCUUUAUGCAUGUAACUUGUAGCAGAAAAUUCCCCCUUUAACAACUUCAGAGCAUAACAAGAAACCACAGUGGUUUGCAGGCCACUAAUUCUGUUACAGAUGAAAGCAUUCAAUUAUCUCUGUAAAAUUCAAUUCCUUAGAAACUGUGUUUAUGAUUGACUAAGUCUAUUUUUAAAAUGUGGUGAUACCACAUGCUACUAUUCAAGAUCUUGAUUUAAAAGUUGGAAUAAAGUAGCUUGUGGUUCUUGGGUAAAACAAAGACACUAAUCUGUUUUUUUCAAUAUAAAAAUAUUUUCAAUACAAAAAGGCAACCUAAAAUACUCUUGUUCUAGAUGUUAAGCUAGGCUUGUGUAAAUCUUCAUAUUUCCCACUGCAGCCCAAACAUACUUUAAAACUGCAAACAAUUAUUUAAAAGUGGGUCACCAUUUGUAUUAAAAUCUUAUUUACAUGGCAUUUAUAUUUAAAAGUGUGAUGAAAUACUGCUAGUAACAAGUCAAUAUAGUUUAGAGAUAAGAUCUCAUG